UACGGGGGGAGCAAGCGUUAUCCGGAAUGAUUGGGCGUAAAGCGUCCGCAGGUGGCAAUGUAAGUCUGCUGUCAAAGCGUCUGGCUCAACCAGAUAAAGGCAGUGGAAACUACAUAGCUAGAGUAAGGUAGGGGUAGAGGGAAUUCCUGGUGUAGCGGUGAAAUGCGUAGAGAUCAGGAAGAACACCGGUGGCUAAGGCGGCUCUCUAGUACGGUACUGACGCUGAGACGCGAAAGCGUGGGGAGCGAACAGG
rnacentral:rRNA from 1 species